UACAGAGGUCCCAAGCGUUGUUCGGAUUCACUGGGCGUAAAGGGUGCGUAGGCGGUCGGGUAAGUCUGAUGUGAAAUCUCACAGCUUAACUGUGAAACUGCAUUGGAUACUAUCCGGCUCGAGGAAUGGAGGGGAGACUGGAAUACUUGGUGUAGCAGUGAAAUGCGUAGAUAUCAAAGUGGAACACCAGUGGCGAAAGGCGAGUCUCUGGACAUUUCCUGACGCUGAGGCACGAAAGCCAGGGGAGCAAACGG
rnacentral:rRNA from 1 species